rnacentral:rRNA from 1 species
GACGAACGCUGGCGGCGUGCUUAACACAUGCAAGUCGAACGGAAAGGCCCUGCUUUUGUGGGGUGCUCGAGUGGCGAACGGGUGAGUAACACGUGAGUAACCUGCCCUUGACUUUGGGAUAACUUCAGGAAACUGGGGCUAAUACCGGAUAGGAGCUCCUGCUGCAUGGUGGGGGUUGGAAAGUUUCGGCGGUUGGGGAUGGACUCGCGGCUUAUCAGCUUGUUGGUGGGGUAGUGGCUUACCAAGGCUUUGACGGGUCGCCGGCCUGAGAGGGUGACCGGCCACAUUGGGACUGAGAUACGGCCCAGACUCCUACGGGAGGCAGCAGUGGGGAGUAUUGCACAAUGGGCGGAAGCCUGAUGCGGCAGCGCCGCGUGCGGAAUGACGGCCUUCGGGUUGUAAACCGCUUUCGCCUGUGACGAAGCGUGAGUGACGGUAAUGGGUAAAGAAGCACCGGCUAACUACGUG